GUCCCAGUAGCGCAAUGGAUAGCGCGUAGGACCUCUAAUCCAAAGGUCGUAGGUUUGAAUUCCACCUGGGAUG